rnacentral:ribozyme from 1 species
UGCAAAGAAACUCCCAUCCCUACCUUCUCGUGGUACUAGCCGGGGUACGUGUAACCUUAGGGAAGAUCGGGUAACCAACCCCGGUGGGAACUUUGGUCGUAUGCUGACAGGGAAGG